rnacentral:misc_RNA from 1 species
CGAAUGCUCCGCUCGUCGUGUUGCGCGUGGGGCGGUGGCCUUGCUCUAUGGGCACCGACCACGCUGCUCCGCCGGGGUAGCGCCUCCCGCACAUCUUCCUCGCUCUCCGCGUGGGGCGGCGCUGCACUGUUCGCUCGCCGCCUCGCACACUCAGUGUCUGCGACAGGCAGCGCCUCUUCUUCUUCCUCCCGCACGCGUCACAACAUGUUCAAAGCCCCGCCGGAAGUCGGGCCUGGCCGGAAGGACACGGAGGAGGCAAACCCGUACAAGUCGUGGGAACACAUGAAUCACACGUGGCUGAUCUUGAUGUGUCUGGGCUGCCUCUGCGCGGGCUGGCUGGCGGGGCACUUUGUCGAGGUGGACGAGUCGAAGAUCAAACCCAAGUACGCCAGGGAGGACGUGGUAGCAUCGGCGUGUAAGCAGUUCGAGUUCCGCCCCGACUUGGCCGCGACGAGCAUUCGAACCGCGUUUGUGUUGGCGGCGCGUCGUGCCGGGUUCCCGGCCGACACGGUCGACGAGUCGUGCGCAGUGGUGCGGGGGCUGAACGACGUGGCGGGGAUCAUGAACUAUCUCUCCAACACCUACCCCGCCUCCUCCACCGAGGAUGUCGCCUCGCUCGCUGCCAUAGCCGGCAUCAAGUACCUGAACGGCCCCUACGAGGCAAUCCUAGAUCAGUGGAGGUGGGGCCGCAACGACAGCGACACGGCCCCAAAGCGCAACAUUCCAAAGGACCCAGAUCAGAAAGUCUUCUCGAUUCCUACGAUACUGCACGCCCUCGGCGGCCUGACCGAGGCAGAGUGUGUGGCGCUGCUCGCCUGCCACAGCGUCGGCGAGUUUCACGAGGAUGUGAGCGGCCUCGAAGGCGCCACGCACACUGGGAAGCGCUACAUACUCAACAACCGCUACUACCAGUUUCUGCUGGAGCAUGAGAAGGCCUUUGCCCCGCUGACGGUGGCACGGACGCAGGACAACAAGGAGGUGGCGGCGCUGCCGCAAACUUUGAAGUGCGUCUACGUGAAGGAGAAGGCCAACGGGAAGACAAAGAAGCGGCAGUGUGUCGUGAACGCGGCGGAGCUGGAGCUGCUAAAGAACAAAACGUGGCGCGAGCUCGUGGUACGCUACGCCGCGGACGAGGAGCUGUGGCGGGAGCAGUUCCAGUCGGCCUUCACGAAGAUGAUUGAGAGCAACUUCAAGCGACUCCGUCCGUACUCGGACCCGAAUUCCGCUUAGCGGCGCCUUGAAUGUGUUUCGUAUGUGUGUGUCGGAUGCGUUUACAG